AGCAUUAUUUAAAGCAGAGCUUCAAGAGGCACUGCGAGAUUUUAAGCAAGAGCAGAAACUGGUGCACAAUGUUUUUGCUUUUCCAUCAAGUUAGCAGAGAUUGUCCGUCUGCCAUUUGUGCAGGUGCCCUGGGGGAAAUGCACACCGAACCAGCUGUCGCCUUGGCCUGCAGGGAGCUCACCCCCUUGCUGCUCACAGAUGGCUGAACUGGAUCCCAUGAUGCGGUGGGUGGGAGAGGGAGAAGGGGCGGCCACUGGAGGAGGGCAUUCCCACUCUGAAAGGAGACACUGGCAGGAGUAAAGUGGUUACGAAGCCCCGCAGGGCAAGUUGCGUUAGGCUCCACGGGUUUGCCCCUGUGCCCUCGGUCUCCUGGCAGCAGAGGCCACCCCGCCAGUGGCUGAGCUGCCCUGAGUCCCUCGUCCUGUUCCUUGAAGGCUAAGCCGGUCCCCGGGCCGGCUCUCUGCAGCAGGCUUCCUGCCUGCAGAGUCGUGCACGUGGAGGGGGCCCAUCCUGCAGCAGAGAGCCUAGGACCUGUGGCAGCAGGGAACGCCAUCAGCUCCGCUGGCCUUCCAGCAGCUCUGUCCUGUGUCCUGGUGAGGCCCCUGUGGGUGGCGCUCUUCUCCAUGUACAUUGCAAGAGGGGCGGCCAGGCAGUAAUGCUUGUACUGGAUAUUGAGCCCCCCUGAUCCCAAGUCACUUGCUUUUGUUGCCUUUUCCGCCGGUGCCCAAGGGCCCAUGCAACCAGGCUCUCCUUCCCUCUUCUACGUGUUAGGCCAAGUGUAAUGCUUUGCUCCUCGUGGGUCCAAAGCCAGACACUUGAUUUGAGAAAGAUGCUCCUGAGCACUAUAGAAGCCCAAGUUCUGCCAGGGCCUGGUUUCCUAGAGCUCGAUUUCUAAAAGGCAGGGAUUGGCAGAAGGGGCAGUGACAGGGCUUCCUGCCUGGCCACCCAGGGCUUUGCGGUACCACCCAGGGCGCUGUUGUGCCUGAGUUCCUGAGGCCGGAAGGGGUGUGUUGGGUGGACACAUCGAUGUGCUAGGAGUCUGGGUGGACCGCCAAACACAUGCCAAGCCUCCCCAGUAGCUACGACACUAGCUUGUCCCUAAAUCGGUACAUGUCAACCCCAAUGUGAUAAGCAGGCAGUCCCCUCCAGAUUAACCCUCCUGAGAUACGAGCUGCCUCCAUGUCAUGCCUCCGAGGCUCAUCAUGUGCUUCUUUUGAGCAACAGUUGGCAGCUGGUCUCUCCUCUGCACAGGGCCUGCCUUGCUCUCCAUCUGAUUGGCAGGGGCUAGAGUCUGGAAGGGGGUGGGGAGGAUGCAGGGAACCCGGGCAUGCCCUGUGGACAUGGUCACUGGGUGACUCCAUCACCCUAAACACACCUCAUGACACGUCCUUUAGGUCUGGGAAGGACCUUUAGGGCCAGAAAGUGUUAACGAAAAAUUCCUCAGUCGAUGAGUGUACCCUAGGACUUGGGGAGACACUUUUUGCCAAAGAAGCCCAAAGCUAUGCUGGGUGGGGCAGCUGUGGAACCCCAUUGUCCCAGCUGGCACGCCCGGUGAACUCUGGCUUAGGUCUUGCAGUCAGUGCCUUUUAAUAAGAUUAUGGCAUGGGAACAGAUGCCAUAUAUCCUGAGAAAAGAUAGUUGUUGCUCUCAUGAGACUCAAGUUCAUAUGCACCUCGAGGGAGAGCCCUCUGUGGUGGGGACACCCGCCCCUGCUGCAGCCAUGUGACCCCUCGGGCAACAGCAGGACAUCUGUCCUUGUGUGUCCUCAUCUGUGCAGCGUCUGUGCAGUCCGGGCAGCAUUGGUUGGAGCUUUCGGGGGAAGGCGGUGGGCUGUCCUUGAGCAGCGGGGCUGGAGCGUUCUGUGGCCACGCUGUCACUGAGCCCCUCAGCGUGUUCUUCCAGCCUGGCCCUGACCCUGUGAUCAGGAGUGUGGGAGUCCCUUGAUGUGGCUUAACCUGGUCUGUAGGAGCUGCUGGUAUGAUGAUGGCUGGUGAUAGCAAUUUGAGGCAAGUGUUUUCUAACUUCUCCAGGUCUCCCUUUUCAAACACUUAAAAUCCUGACCUUGAGAAAGUUUGGGACUUUUUUGUCACUUAGAUAAAUCUGAGCAAUUAAUUUUUUAAUGGUUCCCAGGUCUUGCAUCUCCACUUUUUCCUUUAAUUCCUUUAUGUUUGAUCAGUUGGAAAAGAUAGCAUCUGAAAAUAUAUGGAAAAAAUUAGUAUGUGGCCCAGGGACAGCUGGAAACCAUGGGAAGAGGGGGAGUCACAUUAGAUGCCACAUCGAAUGCCAUCGUGGCCCUUGCCACGGACACCGUUGUUGUUUGUGUUGGUCGGUGGCCUUUUGACGAUGACAAGUAUAACCUCUUAGAUCUCCAACAGUAGGUAGUAGAAGUUGUGGGUUCCUCCUGCCUGGUCCCCAGAUAAUCCCACUUCCACCUGGAGGCCCCCUAGCCCCGCACCAUUUUCCCCCCUCAGUUACACAUGUAUUGGUUGUGGGUCUUCUGUCCCUUUUCCCCAAAUAUGCAGUGGGUUCAGUAGUGAAGCACGACAUAGAGGAGUCUUACUAUCCUGUCGCCCCCACUGAACAGGGAAGCCUCGUGAAUUUAGAAACUGGACAUUUAACUCUCUGCACACAUGGCCAAGUGCAGUAACUGGCGUGGAGCACCGAGAUACAUGUCUGGAGGCAGGAAGCCUGGGAUCAGGAUGCCAGGGAGGCUGGUUCUGGUGUGGACGCUCUUCCUGACUUGUGGCUGGCCAUGUCCUCUUUGUGGCCUCCUGUGGCAGGACGAGUGAGGCCGGGAGAGAGACAGAGCC